rnacentral:rRNA from 1 species
GACGAACGCUGGCGGCGUGCUUAACACAUGCAAGUCGAACGGAAAGGCCCUGCUUUUGUGGGGUGCUCGAGUGGCGAACGGGUGAGUAACACGUGAGUAACCUGCCCUUGACUUUGGGAUAACUUCAGGAAACUGGGGCUAAUACCGGAUAGGAGCUCCUGCUGCAUGGUGGGGGUUGGAAAGUUUCGGCGGUUGGGGAUGGACUCGCGGCUUAUCAGCUUGUUGGUGGGGUAGUGGCUUACCAAGGCUGUGACGGGUAGCCGGCCUGAGAGGGUGACCGGCCACAAUGGGACUGAGGUACGGCCCAGACUCCUACGGGAGGCAGCAGUGGGGAAUAUUGCACAAUGGGCGGAAGCCUGAUGCAGCAACGCCGCGUGCGGGAUGACGGCCUUCGGGUUGUAAACCGCUUUCGCCUGUGACGAAGCGUGAGUGACGGUAAUGGGUAAAGAAGCACCGGCUAACUACGUG